CUAAGAAUAUUCCGCAAUGGACGAAAGUCUGACGGAGCGACGCCGCGUGGAUGAAGAAGGCCGAAAGGUUGUAAAAUCCUUUUGUUGGGGAAGAAUAACCAUGGGAGGGAAUGCCCGUGGGAUGACAUGAACCGACGAAUAAGUCCCGGCUAACUACGUGCCAGCAGCCGCGGUAACACGUAGGGGACAAGCGUUAUUCGGAAUUACUGGGCGUAAAGGGCAUGUAGGCGGCCUUGUAAGCCUGGCGUGAAAGUCACCGGCUCAACCGGUGGAUUGCGUCGGGAACUGCAGGGCUUGAAUCACGGAGAGGGAGCUAGAAUUCCUGGUGUAGGGGUGAAAUCUGUAGAGAUCAGGAAGAAUACCAACGGCGAAGGCAAGCUCCUGGCCGAUGAUUGACGCUGAGGUGCGAAAGUGUGGGGAUCAAACAGG
rnacentral:rRNA from 1 species